rnacentral:lncRNA from 1 species
GAACCCAAGCCAGACUCAGUGUGGGUAAGCCAGUGAUGCUUCACUGAAGCUUUGCAAACUUCAAAAAGGAAGAGAAACAAUUUAUCAGAUGCUGUGCUUCUUCAAGUUAUGAAACAGAGCUAUCAAGGAAAUCAAGUUUUUCUACGGGAACAAAGCAACCGAUCCUUUUCAGGAUUUCUAGCCCAGACCUUGUCAAAGUAAGAUGCUCUAAGAUUGAAAUCAUGCAUCAGUAGGAAUUGAAACUUCGUGACUUAUAAAAAGAUGCAAAGAGAAGCAAAAGAUCAAUGUACACUGAACAAAUCCAUGAUUUCAUUUGUUCCUUCUCAUUUAAUAUGCUGAUGAUAGAAAUCUUCAGAAAAGUAGGGAUUGCAGCAGCAAAAAACAACCCUUGUAUGCUAAUUUCAUGGAGUAAGAACUAUGUUUGUAAAUAUCAGAAUCAGCAUUUUAAAUUGCAAUUAUCCGAAUAAAUCAUCUGGAGAAGUAAUUUUCAGGAAGAUAUGUUUCGAUAGUAAAUAAUGAUUGUAGCUCUUAAAAGCAAAAGAGGGAAAAUAACAUCACUGUGCAAAAGAUGAUCUCACCGAGAUAAUUAAAGUUAUAAUGAAGAUAGAAUGAACUCAGAUGCUGCUAUUAAAGAAAAAGGACUUUAAAGAAGUUGAACAACUCUGCUUCAAAAAGAAAAAGUAACAUUAGAAACUCUUAUGCCUUGCCGCCCAAGGGACAGACCGAUGCAAAUCGACAAGCUGACACCAAAAGCCCACUUAGAACUGAGUAUGGUGAAAAUAGAGAUUCUUCAGAAAAGCAGAGAGUUGCAGCAGCAAAAAGCACCCCCUUGUAUGUUGGAAGUGAUCCUGAACAUGUCAUUAGUAAGCCACUCUUUACUGUACAAAAUUUAGAUACUAGAAUCAGCAAUUAGAAACAUUUUAUACUCUGCAGUUCUGCAACAAAUCAGGAGAAGGAAUUUUCAAGAGGAUAGUUAUUGACAUAGCUCUUAAAUGCAAAAGAGAGAAAAUAACAUCCUUUGCUAAAGAAAAUCUCAUUUAUUCUAUCAAAAUUCUGAUAAAGAUAGAAUGAACACUGCCAUUGAAGAAAAAGAACUUCAAAGAAUUUUAGCAACUCCCUUCAGAAAAAGUUGGAUGAUAACACAUGCAUAUCCUAAGCAUAACAUAAUACAAAAAUGAGAGUCAAAAAACAGAAACCUUUUCUUAUCUUUCUUUCUUCUUAGUAUUCUUCUUUAUCAUCUGCAGAACAGCAGAGAAAGUCGGUCAGGAGCUGAUGAAAAGAUCCAGAGGAGAGAAGUAACACUCAUGUCACUAGAUUUUCCAUGUAAAUCUUCACGGGAUUUCAAGAGACAAAUCCGAAGAGUGUUCCUGACAAUUUUAUGUAAAGAACGUCUACACAGGUGAAACUAUCAAAUACUGACAUGUGUUAUCUGCUAAUAUAUUUUCCAUAUCUUGCAAAACAACUAGAACAAAUAGUAUAAAAUCAAAAUGCCAAACUGCUCAAAUCCCUGCAAAGGAAGAUUUACACCAUCUUGGUAACAAGAAUGGCAUCAUUACGAUUAGAAAUAUAGAUAGACUUAUUUAACAAGUCAUUGACGUUGCUGUAAAACCUGCUAGAAGGAAAACCUGACUCCUCUCGGAGGAGGGAGAAGCCAAUGGAUUCAACGAACUCGAGGCAACACCAAGAGGAAGAGUCUUAAUGAAACAAAAAGAACCUCUCGAAGAAUAAGCUUUCUUGUCCUCGAAAUUAGAACAUAGCUUGACAUGGAAGCUGAACUCAGCUUGUCUAAAGGAUAGAUAAACUCAUUUCUUCUUCACCAUAACAACCAUUAAGCUAAGUAAUUAACAAGACUAUCUCGGACAGAUUUAUAAGAUGCUUUAUGCACUGAACUGCAGCUCAAGGGACUAUCUGUUCUCGUGGGAAAGAACAAGUGAAGAACACACCAACAGAAUUUGGAAAAGCCAAGGGGGAAAAAGUGAGAUCUUGGACAUGCACGACGAGCAAAAGAGAGAAAAAGAUUCGGCAAUGUCUGUCCUUAAAUUCUUGAACUAAAGCUCUUUGUUUCUUGAUGCAACCAAAGGUUUGAUUCCCUCAAAAUGACCUCAGAAU